GAUGAACGCUGGCGGCGUGCCUAAUACAUGCAAGUCGAGCGAACAGACGAGGAGCUUGCUCCUCUGACGUUAGCGGCGGACGGGUGAGUAACACGUGGAUAACCUACCUAUAAGACUGGGAUAACUUCGGGAAACCGGAGCUAAUACCGUAUAAUAUAUUGAACCGCAUGGUUCAAUAGUAAAAUACGGUUUUGCUGUCACUUAUAGAUGGAUCCGCGCCGCAUUAGCUGGUUGGUAAGUUAACGGCUUACCAAGGCAACGAUGCGUAGCCGACCUGAGAGGGUGAUCGGCCACACUGGAACUGAGACACGGUCCAGACUACUACGGGAGGCAGCAGUAGGGAAUCUUCCGCAAUGGGCGAAAGCCUGACGGAGCAACGCCGCGUGAGUGAUGAAGGUCUUCGGAUCGUAAAACUCUGUUAUUAGGGAAGAACAAAUGUGUAAGUAACUAUGCACGUCUUGACGGUACCUAAUCAGAAAGCAACGGCUAACUACGUG
rnacentral:rRNA from 1 species